GACGAACGCUGGCGGCGUGCCUAAUACAUGCAAGUAGAACGCUGAAGGAGGAGCUUGCUUCCCUGGAUGAGUUGCGAACGGGUGAGUAACGCGUAGGUAACCUGCCUGGUAGCGGGGGAUAACUAUUGGAAACGAUAGCUAAUACCGCAUAAGAGUAGAUGUUGCAUGACAUUUGCUUAAAAGGUGCAAUUGCAUCACUACCAGAUGGACCUGCGUUGUAUUAGCUAGUUGGUGAGGUAACGGCUCACCAAGGCGACGAUACAUAGCCGACCUGAGAGGGGGGUCGGCCAACAUGGGAACGAGACAAGGCCCAGACUUCUACGGGAGGCAGCAGUAGGGAAUCUUCGGGAAAGGACGGAAGUCUGACCGAGCAACGGCGCGUGAGUGAAGAAGGUUUUCGGAUCGGAAAGCUCUGUUGUAAGGGAAGAACGAGUAUGAGAGUGAAAAGUUCACACUGUGACGAUAUCUAACCAGAAAGGGACGGCUAACUACGUG
rnacentral:rRNA from 1 species